CCUCUGGUGACUGAGAAGGUAAAGAAUCUGCCUGCAAUGCAGGAGACCCAGGUUCAGUCCCUGGUCAGGAAG
rnacentral:tRNA from 1 species